rnacentral:lncRNA from 1 species
UGGUACAUGGGCUCUUCCCAGCGACUAAAUAAAAAGAAACAGUGCGUAUUACUAGGUGUCAAUAGCACAUAUGAGAUCCACGUUUGGCAAGGAGACCCAGUUCGCGUAUAAGUAGACCGUCCUACUAAAGUCAAACGGUCGCAACUAAUACCACUGAAAAUAAUCUCCUUGCCAACGAGGGUACACAAAGAAAAAAAAAUUGUAAUUGAAAACUGAAUAAAGUUAAUAAUGGCAAUAAGUGUAAAAAAAUAAAGAUAAUAAUAAAUAAAAAAAAACUCAAGCAUUGCUAAGGAUCGCUCACCAAAACAUUAGCCGAAAAGCACAAGGUAAAUUAUAAUAAAAAAAAUACUCACCCCAAAUAAGUUGGGAAACACCUCUUGUUACAGAUAAUAUUACAUUGGUUUUAUUUAUUUCAAGUUUUAUUCAAAAGAGAGCAAAUUAUCCGAAGGUACUCAUUUUUAAGUGGUUAACAUAUUGGAGAAAAACUAGUACUGACGAAUAUUUAAUGCUCGCUAAUUACAAUAAAUAGUUCAGGUUUCAGAAAAUUAUUAUUUGAAGUACGUUAAGGGAAUAGGACAGGAGCUAGAACAAUUGAAGUGCGGAACUUAAUUUUUGCAUAGCGAAUGGGAACUUAAUUUGAAUGGAAAGACUGCAGAAUGAAAUGUUAACUAAAACAAAAAGGCUUGGAACGAAAAUUAACUCAAAUGUCAAA